rnacentral:rRNA from 1 species
GAUGAACGCUAGCGGGAGGCCUAACACAUGCAAGUCGAACGGGAUUGGGAGCUUGCUCCCAUGAGAGUGGCGCACGGGUGAGUAACGCGUAUGCAACCUACCUUUAACUGAGGGAUAGCCCAUAGAAAUGUGGAUUAAUACCUCAUAGUUCUAUUAGAUCGCAUGAUUUGAUAGAUAAAGCUCCGGCGGUUAAAGAUGGGCAUGCGUGACAUUAGUUUGUUGGUGAGGUAACGGCUCACCAAGACUACGAUGUCUAGGGGUUCUGAGAGGAUGAUCCCCCACACUGGUACUGAGACACGGACCAGACUCCUACGGGAGGCAGCAGUGAGGAAUAUUGGUCAAUGGGCGCAAGCCUGAACCAGCCAUCCCGCGUGAAGGAUGAAGGCCCUAUGGGUCGUAAACUUCUUUUAUACACCAAGAAAAACACCCACGUGUGGGUGCCCGACGGUAGUGUAUGAAUAAGCAUCGGCUAACUCCGUGCCAGCAGCCGCGGUAAUACGGAGGAUGCAAGCGUUAUCCGGAUUCAUUGGGUCUAAAGGGUGCGUAGGCGGCUUUUUAAGUCAGUGGUGAAAUCUUGCCGCUUAACGGUAAAAUUGCCAUUGAUACUGAUAAGCUUGAGUACAAUUGAGGUAAGCGGAAUGUGUAGUGUAGCGGUGAAAUGCUUAGAUAUUACACAGAACACCGAUUGCGAAGGCAGCUUACUAAACUGUUACUGACGCUGAUGCACGAAAGCGUGGGGAGCGAACAGGAUUAGAUACCCUGGUAGUCCACGCCGUAAACGAUGAUCACUCGCUAUGCGAUACACAGUAUGCGGCCAAGCGAAAGCAUUAAGUGAUCCACCUGGGGAGUACGAUCGCAAGGUUG